rnacentral:lncRNA from 1 species
GUGCUCCCUCCCCUCGCUGCUCACCUUGGUUCCCAAGAGCCGGGCGGCCGCAGUAAGUAAAGCCAUGGCGGGCGAUCUCCGGGAUCUGGUGGGGAGGUAAGAAAGGGAGAGAGCUGCGGCAGGAACAGGAGCCGCCGCCGCUGCACCAGAGGCCGCGCCGACGGGUUGACAAGGUUGAAAGGAGGCGGCUGAAGGAAAGAGUAGACGAACCGGCGGCGGCGCCCAGCCCGGGGUCCUCAAGGAGGCCCCGCCCACUGGCCGGAACCCGAGCCCGCCCCUCUCAAGGGACUCUCCCCGGGCCCGGCCAUUGGUCCGGUAUGGAAGCGGGGCGGGACCUUAGCCCUUGACAGCAGUUGUGACGGGGAGGAUUGGACCGCCCGGAUUAGGGCUAAUUAAGGGUGGAUGGGUGGCGGGCGGGGAAGUGCGGGUGGCUAAAUAGGUGCCUGAUAACUCAGUUAACUUCCCUCUUGGCUUUUCCCUUUGACCUUAACACUUUUGGGGUUAUCUCUGAGGCGAAUGCUAAAGGAGACGCUCCAGGACUCGACCUCUGAAGGUCCUUGGAGCCAAUUCCGUAAUAUGAUCAUGGAAACUGAUCAUUGCCUGAUCCUUCUACCGCCUUGGCGCGCUUUCUUGAGGAAUGUCUUUGGUUAAUGGCUUCACGGCCAUGGAGGUGACAUCAUGUGGACAACAGGCUAGGAUGCCAGAGUUAGCUGCUCGGUGGAGAUCAUUUGAGGUCAGCAGAGGCCACGAUAUUAUAGAUACUAACAGACCCCGAUAUGGGGAGAAAAGCAAAAGCAGGAGCCUGAAUAUCCAGUGCUUUGUGAGCUGUCAGUUCUGUGUGUAAUGGCAGGAAAUCCAAGUCUUAACUGCGCCCUUACUAUGAAGGCUUUCCGAGCCAGCCACAGCUUCUGGGUCAUGGGCAUUAGUCUCACUGCCACUCUGGUCACGUAACCCCACACAGCAGCUCACCCCACUUUAGCCACAGAUUAGGAGCCGCAGACUAGCCCCUCAUCGAAGAUCCCCUUUGGUCACAUUCUCUAGGGCCUCUGGGCCACUUCUCCUACUUGGCAGUCUUCUAUGCUCUCUUAUCUUGUGCUCCCCAGAGACCAUGACACGACCCUGAAGUGAUAUUCCGCACCACUUUCUAAAUCCUCUGGGUAGACGAGGCUUCAGGACUUUUGUGCCUCCCUAAGCCUGUCGUAGUCAUUGACCCCAAGGACAAGAGCAUCUUAUCUACAAACCUCCAGCCCCAAGUGAAAAGCCUUUUUUUUUUUUGGAGACAGAUCUUGCUCUGUAGCUGAGGCUGGAUUGCAGUGGUGCGAUCUCAGCCUCCUGAGUAGCUGGGAUUAUAGGCGCCCGCCACCACGCCCAGCUAAUUUUUGUAUUCUUAGUAGAGAUGGGGUUUUGCCAUGUUGGUCAGACUGGUCUCGAAAUCCUGACCUCAGGUGAUCCACCCGCCUCGGGCUCCCAAAGUACUGGGAUUACAGGCGUGAGCCACCGUGCCCAGCUGUGAAUAGCCCUUUUAUCUCACCACAUAGCAGUAACAAGGAUCACAGGUCUCAGUAUCCACCUAAGCCAGGUUUAGAUAGAUCUCCUUUACAAAGAACCGAGUUUCUAGCUUGGACUUGGAAAAAGAGAUAGAAAACCCCUAUUUUCUCUUCUUAAUUUUCUUUAUACUCAGCUUCACACCUAACAACCAAUGCUCUUCUGGCCUGGGGAUCAGAUAGUUAGGUCUCAGGAAAAAACUUUAGGCAAUGCUCCAGAGGAGCACUGACCUCAGCUACCUUUGAAGACCCCGGUGACUUCAAAGCUUCACUGAUCAAUAUUUGCUCCCCAUUUAGCAUCUCAUAAAGGAUUUCCACAUAACCCUAGAAUAGUCUGACCUGGUUCCUUUUCUCUGGUUAAUUAUCCACAGAGACUAACCAGCAGACCACAGGACUGAACUUCAGUGCCCCAGGAUGAGACUACCAAAGGGACAAUUAUUGAGAGGCCACAGGAUCAUCUGUCUUGGAGCUUUAGUGAUUGGGUGGGGAACAGCAAUGCUCUAAGCCUCUCGACACUGGGUCCCAGAGCCCCUAGUGCCAUGGGGACUUUAUGGACUUGUUUUGAAGUUGUCCAAUCCUGACAUCGACUGCUAUAAGGGCAAUUGGAAAGCACAGGAUCAAAGCGGCUAACUGGCAUCUCCCAGGAGCUGGCCUAGAUUCCUUCUCAACACUGAUGGGACCUGGGGAGGUUGGAGAGAAUGUUAAGGAAGAAAGAUUGGCAUGAAUAAAGCAGCCAAGUGAGCUCUAGGUCCAGGUAUAACUAAGUGCUUGGGAACUUGAAGGGGCAAGGGAGAGAAGGCUGAGAAUUUAGGUUGUUGUGACCUUGGGAGGACCUCUUUAAAGUGUAGGGAGGCAAUAGCACCCCCUAGUGGCAAAGGACAAGUGGGCUAAUAAAAUCUAAAUUUAAACCCUUAAACUACAAGGUAAACCAAACGCCUCUAUUUAAUAGAUAAUAGCUAAAACUUAAACUGGAGGAUCCCUUACUAUUUGCAGAUACUAUCUAAAUGUGGAACAUGCAUUAUCUUUUUUUUUUUUUUUUUUUUUUUGGAGAUAGAGUCUUGUUCUGUUGCCCAGCCUGGAGUGCAGUGGUAUGAUCUCGGCUCACUGCAACCUCCACCUCCUAGGUGGCACACGCCGCCACGCCUGGCUAAUUUUUUUUUUUUUUUCUAUUUUAGUAGAGAUGGGGUUUCACCAUGUUGCCCAGGCUGGUCUCCAAAGUGCUAGGAUUACAGGCAUGAGCCACUGUGCCUGGCCUGGAAUGUGCAUUAUCUUAAUCUUUGCAACAACUCUAAGUUUCAAGGUAUUAAAAAAUAAAAAGAAGAGAAAACCAAGACUUAGAUGAAGUAUCCUACCCAGUGUCAUAGCUUGUAAUUGGCAUGGCUAUAAAUUCAGACCAAGGUCAGCAUUACUAGGCUGUAUUUCUUUUUCUUUUUUUUUUUUUGAGAUGGAGUCUCACUGUGUAGCCCAGGCUGGAGCGCAGUGGCACAAUCUCAGCUCACUGCAACCUCUGCCUCCCUGGUUCAAGCGAUUCUUCUGCCUCCGCCUCCCAAGUAGCUGGGAUUACGGGCGCAUGCCACCACACUCAGCUAAUUUUUGUAUUUUUAGUAGAGACAAGGUUUCACUAUGUUGGCCAGGUUGGCCACUGCGCCUGGCCCUAAGCUGUAUGUCUUACAUGAUGAUUAUGAUUUUUUUUUUUUUUUUGAGAGAAGGUCUUGCUCUGUAACCCAGGCUGGAACGCAGUGGCAUGAUCGUUGCUCACUGCUGCCCAACUUCCUGGCCUCAAGCGAUCCUCCCACCUCACUCUCCCAAGUAGCUGGGACUACAGGUACUCACCACCACACCUGGCUAAUUUUUCCUUUUUUUUUUUUUUAGAGACAGGGUCUUGCCAUGUUGCCCAGGCUGGUCUUGAACUUCUGGGCUCAAGUGAUCCUCCUUCCUUGGUCUCCCAAAGUGUUGGGAUUACAAGCAUGAGCCACCACAUCUGGCAAUUGUGAACUAUCAGCUGCAACUCAGUAAGGGGAUUUUUGAGUCACUGUCAACUGUCUCCUGGAGACAUCAACUCACUGUGUUGCUAUAAAGAUAUUUCGGCCGGGCAUGGUGGCUCACGCCUAUAAUCCCAGCACUUUGGGAGGCCGAGGCGGGUGGAUCACAAGGUCAGGAGAUUGAGACCAUCCUGGUUAACACGGUGAAACCCUGUCUCUACUAAAAAUACAAAAAGUUAGCCGGGUGUGGUGGCGGGCGCCUGUAGUCCCAGCUACUCGGGAGGCUGAGACAGGAGAAUGGCGCAAACCCAGGAGGCGGAGCUUGCAGGGAGCCAAGAUUGUGCCACUGCACUCCAGCCUGGGCAACAGAGCGAGACUCCGUCUCAAAAAUAAAUAAAUAAAUAAAAAGAUAUUUAAGCCAAGCAAGGUGGAAUGUGCCUGUAGUUUCAGUUGCUAGGGAGGCUGAGGCAGGAGGAUUGCUUGAGCCCAGGAGUUUGAGGCUAUAGUGCCUAAUGAUCAUGCCUGUGAACAGCCACUGUACUCCAGAUUGGGCAACAUAGUGAGACCUUUUCUCUAAAAAAAACAUAAAAAUAAAAGAUAAGGAACUAUAGUCUUACUCAUCUGUAAAGACUUUCACAUCCAUAUGUGAACUAGAUAAUAAAUGGUGACUCCCAGAAUACAUAAAGGUAGGAGAGACAAACAUUCAGCAUUUGAAAUGACCAGAAAGGGGGCUGGGUGUGGUUUCUCAUGCCUAUAAUCCAGGCGUGGUAGUCUCAGCACUUUGGAAGGCCAAGGCAGGAGGAUCACCUGAGACCAGGAAUUCAAGUCCACCCUGGGCAACAUGAUGAAAUUCCACCUCUACAAAAAAUGUAAAAAUUAGCCAGUCCAGGUGGUGUGCGCCUAUAGUCCCAGCUACUGGGGCGGCUGAGGUUGGAGGAUCAGUUGAGCUGAGGAGGUUGAGGCUACAGUGAGCCAUGAUCAUACCACUGCACUCCAUGUACUCCAUUCCAGCCUGGGCGACUGAGCAAGCUUGUCUCAAAUACUACAGCCCAGGCAUUGUGGCUCACUCCUGUAAUCCCAGAAUUUUGGGAGGCCAAGACAGGCAGAUUACUUGAGGUCAGGAGUUUGAGACCAGCCUGGCCAACAUGUUGAAACCCCGUCUCUACUAAAAAUACAAAAAUUAGGCUGGGCGCAGUGGCUCAUGCCUGUAAUCCCAGCACUUUGGGAGACUGAGGCGGGCAGAUCACCUGAGGUUGGGAGUUUGAGACCAGCCUGACCAACAUGGAGAAACCCUGUCUUUACUAAAAAUACAGAAUUAGCCGGGCAUGGUGGUGCACGUCUGUAAUCCCAGCUACUUGGGAGGCUCAGGUAGGAGAAUCACAUGAGCAGGGGAAGCAGAGGUUGCAGUGAGCCGAGAUUGCAUCACUGCGCUCCAGCCUGGGCAAGAGCGAGACUCUGUCUCAAACAACAACAACAGCAAAAACAAACAAAAAAUGACCAGAAAGGUAAAAGGGGUGUCUUAUAAGGAAUAGUCAGGAAAAAUGGCUGAACAGAGGAUAUAAUGCUUUUCCACUACAGAUUACUAGAAUCAGAGGGCAUACAUUCAAACUUGGAGACAGUUUUUCAAGCCAUAUUUAAAAAGUGCUACUUUAUACAGCCACUUGGAGACUCCACUACAUAGAAUGAGGUAUAACAGAAAGAUGACUGGACUAGGGAUUAGAGGAUGACUGGACUACGGAUUAGAGGAUCACUGGGGUUGAAGUCUUGGCUCCUCGCUGACUAGCAAGACACUUAAUCUCUCUGAGCUUAGUUUCUUCAUCUAUAAAAUAGGAAUAACAUCUAUUUCUUAGAGUUGCAAAGAUUAAAUGAGGCCAGGCAAGGUGGCUCACAUUUGUAAUCCUGGCACUUUGGGAGGCCAAGAGGAUCACUGGAGCCCAGGAGUUUGAGACCAGCCUGGGCAAAACAGCAAGAUCCCAUCUCUACGAAACAUUUUUUAAGUUAGUUGGGCCUGGUGAUGCGCGUCUGUAGUCCCAGCUACUCAGGAGGCUGAGGUGGGAGCAUUGCUGGAGCCUGGGAGGUGGAGGUUGCAGUGAGCCAUAAUCUCACCACUGUACUCCAGCCUGGACAACACAGCAAAACCCUGUCUCAAAAAAAAAAAAAAAAAAAAGAAAAAAAAGAUUAAAUGAGUGUGUAUGUGCUUGUUAUACAAGUAUUCAGCAUAUAUUAUUUCCCUUCCCCAUGCUAUUUAUUCCUAUUUAUUUAUGACAGGGUCUGGCUCUGUCACCCAGGCUGGAGUGCAGUGGCAAGAUCUCAGCUCACGGCAACCUCCUGGGCCCAAGCCACCCUCCCACCUCAGCCUCCUGGGUGGCUGGGACUACAGGUGUGCCCUGCCUGGUUAAUUUUUGUAUUUUUUGUAGAGAUGGGGUUUCUCCAUGUUGCCCAGACUGGUCUUGAAUUUCUGAACUCAAGUGAUCCGCUGCCUCAGCCCCCAAAACUGCUGGGAUUACAGGCGUGAACCACUGCACCUGGCCCCUGUCCUAUAUUUAAAGGAAUAUUGUACCUAUGAAUGCUUUUUAAGUUAAAAAAUCCUAUAAAAGUUUUUUUUUUUUUUUUUUCGGCCAGGCAGUGGCUCAUGCCUGUAAUCCCAGCACUUCGGGAGGCCAAAGUGGGUGGAUCAUUUCAGAUCAGGAGUUCAAGACCAGUCUGGCCAACAUGGUGAAACCCCACCUCUAUUAAAAAUACAAAAAUUAGCCGGGCAUGGUGGCAGGCACCUGUAGUCCCAGCUACUUGGGAGGCUGAGGCAGGAGAAUCACUUGAACCUGGGAGGUGGAGGUUGCAGUGAGUCGAGAUCAUGCCACUUCACUUUUUUUUUUUUUUUUUUUGAGACAGGGUCUUGCUCUGUUGCCCAGGCUGGAGUGCAGUGGCGAGAUCAUGACUCACUGCAAUCUCGAUCUCCCUGGCUCAAGCAGUCCUCCCACCUUAGCCUACUGAGUAGCUAGGACUACAGAUGCCUGCCACUAUACCCAGCUAAUUUUUUUGCAUAGACAGGGUCCUGCUAUGUUGUCCAGGGUGGUCUCAAACUCCUGGGCUCAAAAGAUCCUCCUGCCUCAGCCUCCCAAAGUGUUGGGAUUAUAGGUGUGAGCCACUGCAUCUGGACUAAACCUUUUUUUGAGUCGCACUUUAUUGCCCAGGCUGAAGUGCAGUGGCGCAAUCUUCACUGUAACCUCUGCCUCCCUAGUAGCUGGGAUUAUAGGCGCAUGCCACUACACCUGGCUAAUUUUUGUAUUUUUGGUAGAGAUGGGUUUUUGGCAUGUUGCCCAGGCUUGGUCUCGAACUCCUGGCCUCAAUUGAUCUGUCCACCUCGGCAUCCCCAAGUGCUGGGAUUACAGGCAUGAUCCACUGGGCCCAGCCCUAAAACGUAUUUCUAAAGGACUAAAUUUUCACAUAAUAAACUUUCCUGUUAUAUCUGUACCUCAUUUAACACUGUCUUCGGAAAUGUUUGUUAAGUUCUAACAUUUUACUGAUAAACUAAGUUAGAAGGCAUCUGAAGCUUGAUCAGAUUUACAAGGUUAAGAGCAUAUGCUCUACCAAAUACUGGGCUAUAAUUUAUUAUAAUGAACCUCCAGAGGGUUCAGAUAAAUUCAUGCAUUCCUUGUGAUAUGAAUUAAAACAUGUGCAAAGCCAGGCAUGGUGGUGCUUGCCUGUAAUCCUAGAAACUCAGGAGGCCAAGGCAGGAGGAUUGCUUGAAGCCAGGAGUUAGAGGCUGCAAUGAGUUAUGAUCAUGCCAUUUCACUCCAGCCUGGGCAACAGAGCAAGACCCCUGUCUCGCUAAGAUAGUAAUAAUAAUAAUGAUAAUAAUAAAAAAAAUAAGAGGUUUACAAAGUGUAUCUUCCUGCUGGGCACGGUGGCUCACGCCUGUAAUCCCAACACUUUGGGAGGCUGAGGCAGGCGGGUUACUUGAAGCCAGGAGUUUGAGACCAGCCUGGCCAACAUGGUGAAACACUGUCUCUACAAAAAACUCAAAAAUUAGCUGGGCAUGAUGGCACAUGCUUGUAAUCCCAGCUACUUGGGAGGCUGAGUCAGGAAAAUCACUUGAACCAGGAGGUGGAGGUUGCAGUAAGCCGAGAUUGCACCACUGCACUUCAGCCUGGGCGACAGAGCGAGACUCUCCCUCAGGAAAAAAAAAACAAAAAACAAAAAAACCCCACAAAGUGUAUCCUUAAUCAAGCCUAGAAGGUAACAUCCACCCUUUCCUAUAUAGGACAUAUCCUUUGUGUACCAAUGACAAAGUCUCUCCAGCUGGAGAGUUCUUAACAGCUGUACUUUGACAAACCAGAAAGGUGCAUCACAAGUAACUUGUUACUGAUUAACAUUAAAUUUAUUUAUUUAAAACUAUGAAUAAUUUGUUUUCUAAAUUAAAACAGUUUUAAGUUUCCAGAAGAGAACUCUCUUUAUUGUAUUUGAGACAGGGUCUCACUCUGUUGCCUAGGCUAGAGUGCAGUAGUGCAAUCACAGCUCAGUGCAGCCUCAGCCUCCUGGGUUCGAGAGAUCUUGCCACCUUGGCCUCCAGAGUCGCUGGAACCACAGGUGCACACCAUUAUGCCGGCUAAUUUUUGUAUUUUUUGUAGCAAUGGGGUCUCACUAUAUUGCCUAGGCUGGUCUCAAACUCCUGGACUCGAGUGAUCAUGAUCCUUCCACCUUGGCCUCCCAAAGUGUUGGGAUUAUGGGCACGAGCCACCGCAUUUGGCUUGAAGAGUACUCUCAUUUAUACUUCUGAUAAGCUUUCUGAUGGAAAAGAAAGGCAUUUUUAGGCACGAAGCACGAAAUGGACAGCACCUUGGGUAUACUUUCAGGGACAUGAAAAAAUGUAAUUAUUACUUAUAUGCAUCAUAGAAGAAAAAAUAAGCUUUAUAAUAGUUGGUUUGGAAAACUAGAGCGAACACAGCAUUUCUUAUGGAUGAUGGGAGAAGAUGGAAUUAACACCAGGCUGAUAUUAGUUGACAACAAAUAUCAGAGUGCUUGCUCUGUGCUCUAGUUAAUUUGUCAGAUUUCACAGGGAUUUUUGGUACAAGAAAGCUUUGUGGAAUAUAUGCAUUCUAUGCGCCAGGCUUAGUGCAAGGUAUUAUUAGAGAAAAAAGACUUAAAAUAGAAGGUACUCUAUAGCUAUAUUAGAUCAGGUCAGCACUUGGGAAAGUUAGCUUAUAGACCCAGUUUUGCCAUUAAAUACAGAACUUCAUAAAGUUCUAUGGCUUCUCUGGGCCUCAGCUUCUUCAUCAAUAAAAUGGGCAGAGGUGAACCAGACGACCUCUAAGGUUCCUUUAGAUUCUAAAAUGAUGUAAUUUUUAAAACCUUUGAAAUGUUUAUUCAGGUCUUCUCUCCUUGAGGUGUUCUUGGGACCGGAGAUAUUCCAUUUGAAACCCUGAGACAACCAUACCUCAAGCUCAGAGUGCUUAAGAAUUUUCUGCCAGGUGCGGUGGCUCACACCAGUAAUCCCAGCAUUUGGGGAGGCCAAGGCGGGCGGAUCACGAAGUCAGGAGAUCGAGACCAUCCUGGCUAACAUGGUGAAACCCCGUCUCUACUAAAAAUACAAAAAAUUAGCCGGGCGUGGUGGCGGGUGCCUAUAGUCCCAGCUACUUGGGAGGCUGAGGCAGGAGAAUGGUGUGAACCCGGGAGGCGAAGCUUGCAGUAAGCCGAGAUCGCGCCACUGUACUCCAGCCUGGGCGAUAGAGCGAGACUCUGUCUCACAAAAAAAAAAAAAAAAAAAUUAGCCGGUGUGGUGGCGGGCGCCUGUAGUCCCAGCUACUCGGGAGGCUGAGUCAGGAUAAUGGCGUGAACCUGGGAGGCAGAGCUUGUAGUGAGCCGAGAUCGCGCCACUGUACUCCAGCCUAGGCGACAGAGCGGGACUCCAUCUCAGAAAAAAAAAGAAAAAAAGAAUUUCCCAAAAGAAGGUAUCCUUUAGGUUUUCAUCCCUAUGCCCCAGUCUGGAAUCUCUACACACAGAAUUGUGGACAGACUUAUAGUCCAGAUUGACAAUGGCUAGUGAUAGAUACACUUUAUUGUUGCCACUGGCAUCAAAUUUAAAAGCUUAGGCUGGCAAGCAAGGCCUCUCAUUAAACAACCUUCCUUACCUCGUCUGUCCCUAUCCGAUAAAGCCCUUACUUUUCAGCUGAGUUGGUCACAUCCAUUUUCCCCUUCCUGUCUCUGUUCUUGCUGGUCCCUCCAUCUGGAUGGGCAGGGAAGGAAGAAUAAUGCAUAUCCGUUAUUUCCUUCAAGACCAAGCCCUGUCUUACUUUAUGUUUCAACAGCCAUGAACACAAGGGAUUUCUAGAAUUCUACACUACCAUACACUAUGUUCCCCUGCUUCCUCAUGGAGGUUCCUCUAUUCUCCACAAUUAGACUCUAAAGACGUGGUAUUGAGUGGGCACUGACUGAAAGCUUAUCUAGUUUAUGAGUGGAGUGGAAUCUCAGAAGGUAGAAGAAUUAAAGGUUCAGGCCUCUCCUACCUUUAUCCUGUAUCAAUCCCAAAACUCUUCUUUCUCCUCCAUUAUCUUUCCUGUCUAUAUAACUC